AUUGAACGCUGGCGGCAGGCCUAACACAUGCAAGUCGAACGAGUGGCGGACGGGUGAGUAAUGUCUGGGAAACUGCCUGAUGGAGGGGGAUAAAUACUGGAAACGGUAGCUAAUACCGCAUACCAUCGGAUGUGCCCAGAUGGGAUUAGCUAUUAGGUGGGGUAAAGGCUCACAUAGGCGACGAUCCCUAGCUGGGCUGAGAAGAUGACCGCCCACAUUGGAACUGCGCAACGUUCCAGACUCCUACGGGCGGAGUCAGUGGGGAAUAUUGCACAAUGGGCGCAAGCCUACUACAGCCAUGCCGCGUGUGUGAAGAAGGCCUUCGGGUUUUAAAGCACUUUCAGCGGGGAGGCGUUACCCGCAGAAGAAGCACCGGCUAACUCCGUGCCAGCAGCCGCGGUAAUAC
rnacentral:rRNA from 1 species